AGUGAACGCUGGCGGUAGGCCUAACACAUGCAAGUCGAACGGCAGCACAGGAGAGCUUGCUCUCUGGGUGGCGAGUGGCGGACGGGUGAGGAAUACAUCGGAAUCUACUCUGUCGUGGGGGAUAACGUAGGGAAACUUACGCUAAUACCGCAUACGACCUACGGGUGAAAGCAGGGGACCUUCGGGCCUUGCGCGAUUGAAUGCGCCGAUGUCGGAUUAGCUAGUUGGCGGGGUAAAGGCCCACCAAGGCGACGAUCCGUAGCUGGUCUGAGAGGAUGAUCAGCCACACUGGAACUGAGAAACGGUCCAGACUCCUACGGGAGGCAGCAGUGGGGAAUAUUGGACAAUGGGCGCAAGCCUGAUCCAGCCAUACCGCGUGGGUGAAGAAGGCCUUCGGGUUGUAAAGCCCUUUUGUUGGGAAAGAAAUCCAGCUGGCUAAUACCCGGUUGGGAUGACGGUACCCAAAGAAUAAGCACCGGCUAACUUCGUGCCAGCAGCCGCUGUAA
rnacentral:rRNA from 1 species